rnacentral:rRNA from 1 species
AUGUUACUAUGCAAUACUUGGUUGCAAGUGUCGAGGGAUCCAUCCGUUGGAGGUGAUCAAAGUAGAGAUGCUUAUUGGCUUCGGAUGAAGGAACACUUUGGUUUUCGCAACGUGAGUAGAAUUGACCGCUCCGGCCGAUCACUUAGGUCCCGGUGGUCGACAAUCAACUCGGAUUGUCAAAGGUGGGCGGCUUAUCAAAAGGCGGUUGACAAGUUGAACCCAAGUGGCACAAAUGAGGAUGAUAGAGUAAGUGAAGAGGAGAGGAAAACCAAGAAGGGGAAGAUCAAGAAAGGAAGGAUAUUUACUUUGCCUCAUUGCUAUGAAGUGUUGAAGGAUGAUGAGAAAUGGAAGAAGCGUGAAGAUUUGGAUGAUUUGCAUUUGAGCAACAAACGAAAGCGAAUAAUUAAGUUGGAUGAUGAUGAUGAUGAGGAGGAGGAUGAUGCAUCAAGUGAUGACGGCAAGAGAAGCCCCACACCCAACUCGGUUUCAUACUGGAAGCCAAAGCGACCGGAUGGGUGCAAGAAAGACAAAACCGGAAAGAAGAAGAGGAAAGGAGAUGAUGAGCUCAAAAAUGCUAUGGAAGCAAUUGUGAAGGCAAGAAAAGAAGCCAACGAGGUGAGGAAAAUGGCAAGGAACCAAGAUGCUGCGGCCGAGGAGAGGAGUGGAGGAGAGGAAGGUGAGCAAUGA